CCUUUCAAAACUAAAAUAGCCAUUUUAAUUACUUUUUUUGUAAUUAGCAGCUUGAAAUACUUUCCAUUAAAAGAAAAGGGAAAAUUAACGAAGUGCACAUAUAAUCGUAUCCAAACCUUUGGAUUUUUAACCAACGGAUGUGAAGAGAGGUGUGUGCACGCACAUGCGCAUUCGUUCAUUGUGCUCAGUUCUUUGAUUUGGGCCAGAUCCUGUUCUCAUUUCUUCCCUUGCAACCUCACUGACAUCACUAGAGGUGUAUGAGAGGAAUUGAGGACCAAGCAGAGGCCCUGCCAGCAUUGGGAUCAGAACCACACUAGCUAGAAUUGUGAUAAAAACAGAAUAUUUCUAGCAGAAUUCUGGCAUUUUUCCCCUGCGAACCCACGGACGCGGCAGGUUCUCUUAUUGUCUCAUAUACCAAUUAAUGUGGCUGGACUACACUUCUCAUCUAGCAAAUGGACCACAAGAUACUUACCUGACAUUUUCAAAGAGAGCCACAUAAUUCCCACUGACCACAGAAAGUUGAAAAUUUACUCUAAAUGUGGAGGUUAGGAUUCAAGUUAAUUUUAACAUUCAAAUGAGCAGUUGAGGCCUUUGAGGUAUGCCCAUCACUAAUCAAUACCCUUACUGGUAGGAGAAAAUAAAUGGGAUCAGGAGUUUCAGUC